GUGAGGAAAUUAGUCCUCUGUGAGGUGACCAGUCCUCUGUGAGUUGUCCCAUUUUCAGUGAGGUGUCCAGGCCUCUGUCAGAUGAUCAGGCCUCUGUGAGGUGACCCAGUCCUCUUUGAGGUGUCCCGUCCUCUGUGAUGUGACCAGCCCUCUGUGAUGUGACCAGCCCUCUGUGUGUUGACCAGUCCUCUNNNNNNNCGUACCUUCUUUCCCAGCUGCCAUUCUGUUCCAUGGAUGAUGCUGGCAAGUCCCAAACCCUCUCCAGCUAUCAAGAUGAACACCUUGCAGAAGAAAGAAGUCUGCCGCAGAGAAAGACGACUGGACGGGGCAGCUGGGAAGGGUUCUUACCACCAAGCCUGAGGCCCAAGUUUGAUCCCUAAAGCUCACACAGCAAAAGGAGUGGAACGGCUCCUGAAAGCUACCCUCUGACCUCUAUCUUAUGUCUCCUUCACAAAGAAACAAAUCAAGAUAAAUAAAUAAAUGUAUGCAGUUUU
ensembl:lincRNA Gm42654 predicted gene 42654